UUACAUUGUUAGGGGGUCUCAUUGGGGGGUUCCGAUCCUGGAUCCCGCUUACUGUUUUGUCAGAUUCCCGUAUCCUGCUUACACUAUAUACGUAAGCAAUUCUCAUUUUUUUGUCAUUUCCCGGGUCCCGCUAGACCUCAUUUCCCGUUUUCACGCCACAAUAAUUUGACUUUCCCGUGUCACGCUUACAAAAAAUCGGCAAUCCCGCGUCACGCUUAGACCCCAAUGAGACCCACUUGUUAG
rnacentral:lncRNA from 1 species